GAGACUCUGUGCGCGUGCAUAUCAAUAAGCGGAGGAAAAGAAACUAACAAGGAUUCCCUUAGUAACGGCGAGUGAAGCGGGAAGAGCUCAAAUUUGAAAUCUUCAAGGUUCUACCUUGACGAAUUGUAGUUUAUAGAAGUGUUUCCUGUUAGUAGAGUGGCAAAAGUUCUUUGGAAUAGGACAUCAUAGAGGGUGAGAAUCCCGUAUUUGACCAUUAUUUUCAGCUGUGUGAUACACUUUCAAAGAGUCGGAUUGUUUGGGAAUGCAGUCCAAAAUGGGUGGUAAAUUUCAUCUAAAGCUGAAUAUUGGCGAGAGACCGAUAGCGAACAAGUACCGUGAGGGAAAGAUGAAAAGAACUUGGAAAAGAGAGUUAAACAGUACGUGAAAUUGUCAAAAGGGAAGCGUUUGACACCAGUGUUGUUUUUCCGAAAAUCAAUUACGAAUGUUUUGUUUUUAAGAAGUUAUGACUUCAUCGGCUUGCUUCUUUCUUUACGAAACUUUCUUAAUGCACUUUUCGGUUGACAAGUCAACAUCAAUUUCUUUUGUUGUAAAAGGGUAUGAGGAAGGUGGCUUUCUUUUCGGAGAAAGUGUUUAUAGCCUUGUGCCUCUGCAAUCGGAGAGAUUGAGGUCUGCAGCGUAGAUCCUUCGGGGUUAGAUACAUUUGUGCUAAGUUAUAGCUUUUCAUAGACGACUUGUUGACUAUGUUUAGUCUUGUAGCUUACUCGCUUAUGCUAUUUUACCUACGCUUAGGAUGUUGACGAUCAGCUGAGCGCG
rnacentral:rRNA from 1 species